rnacentral:lncRNA from 1 species
CCAGCGAGUGGUUGGGGUGGGUUGGAUGGGUCCUGGAAGGUUAAAGAACCACGGAAUGCUUGCAUUGGAUUGGGAGGGUCCUGGAAAGGUCCUGGAAGGCUAAAGAACUACAGAAUUUGGGGGCUGAAAGGGUCCUUGAAGGUCAUAGAUGUGGGGAGUGGUUGGGUUGGGAUGACUUGGGUUAGAAAGGUCUGGAAGGUCACAGGAUGGUUGGGUUGGGUCAGAAAGGUCCUGGAAGCUCACAGGAGCAUUCGGGAACUUCUUGGAUGGGCCGUUAAGGAGCAGAGCCCAGCAGGGCGGGUUGGGCAGGUCCUGGAAGGUCAACGAACCAGCGAGUGGUUGGGGUGGGUUGGGCAGGUCCUGGAAGGUCAACGAACCAGCGAGUGGUUGGGGUGGGUUAGAAAGGUCCUGGAAGGUCACAGAAUGGUUGGGUUGGGUCAGAAAGGUCCUGGAAGCUCACAGAAGUACUCAGGAACUUCUUGGAGGGACCGUUAAGGAGCAGAGCCCAGCAGGGCGGGUUGGGCAGGUCCUGGAAGGGGCGUAAAAAGCCCCACUGUGUCUCACAGUGCAGAAAUCGGAGGCGGAGCUUCGGGAGCUGCUGGAGAGGAGGGAGGAGAAACUGAGGCUGAAGGCGGAGAGGAGGAAAAGGCAGGAGGAGGCGGUGCAGCAAAAGCGGCGGCGGAGGGAGGAGAUGAGGUGAGAGAAAUGUGUGGGGCUGGGAGCAAAUGUGUGGGGCUGGGAGCAAAUGUGUGGGGCUGAGCCAAAAAUGUGGGGCUGGGACCAAAUCUGGGGGGCUGGGAGCAAAUGUGUGGGGCUGGGAGCAAAUGUGUGGGGCUGAGCCAAAACUGUGGGGGUGGGACCAAAUGUGUGGGGCUGAGCUCAAAUCUGUGGGGCUGGGACCAAAUGUGUGGGGCUGGGACCAAAUCUGUGGGGCUGAGCUCAAAUCUGUGGGGCUGGGACCAAAUCUGUGGGGCUGAGCUCAAAUGUGUGGGGCUGGAAGCAAAUGUGUGGGGCUGAGCCAAAAAUGGGGGGGCUGAGCACAGAUCUGUGGGGCUGAGCUCAAGUGUGUGGGGCUGAGAACAAAUGUGUGGGGCUGGGAGCA